rnacentral:ncRNA from 1 species
CUGUCAUGUGUGUGAGUCAACAUGUGAGUAAAAUUGUAAUGCAUAAGGAACCUUAUUUGUGGGAUUCUUUUGAGGGGUACAUCAGUGAUACUUCUUGAUCAUAUAUGAAGGGGUCAAGUGUGAGCAUACCUGUCAAGACACAAAAGAUGGUGAACUAUGCCUAAGUGAAGUGAAGCCUGAGAAAUUCUUAUGGAGGCCCGUAACAAUACUGACAUGCAAAUCAUUCAUCUUACUUGGUUAUAGGGGUGAAAAACUGAUGAGUCUAAGAUUUCA